GGCCGGGUGUGGAAGUGCGGCAACGCAUGAAGCUUACCGGUACUAAUCGUUCGAUUGGCUUGAUCGUUCUUGUU
rnacentral:rRNA from 1 species